rnacentral:lncRNA from 1 species
UGUGUAGGAUUGCAAGAAGGUGGAAUUCCAGUGUUGCUUGGUCUUGGGUACAAAAGUUCUUCGAAAGAGUCAGAGCUGCUAGAUCCCACCUCCUCCUCUAAUACUCUUUCUACAUUUAUCCCUUCAUUACGUGCUUCUUCAGCAACUCUAGGAGCUGGGUUGCCUUCAUCAUCAUCUAAAUGAAAAGGUCUAAUCCAUUGAAAAAGUUGGUUACCCUCCGUAUCAUCAU